GGCUCUUUUGUCUUGUGAUUUUGGGCAGAGAGCCUUAUGGUGAAAUAUAACAUCUCAGACCUCAACCUCCCUAAUCUACAAUAUCAGUAGACUAGACAUAAACAUUUCCACCUGGUUAACUUCGCCGGAACUCUGUAAUCGACAAUAACGGAAGAAUCUACAAUGAAUAAGGAAACACCUAUCCCACCCCCCUCCUCCCUCUCCCUCCGACCGUCCUCCCCCUUCACGCUCCCGAGGGCCCCAGGUCGUGCCUUUCCCGGUAGCGCCUUACUGCAGGGUAUGAAGAGGUUGUCUGUGCUGCUGGUGGACUACAGGAAAACAACAGGGCUGAGGGACAGCCGUAACCGUCGCUCUCUCAGUAGAAGAGUCAUAUCUGGGGAGGCUAACGAACAUGAUGCUGACGAGGCAGAGAACAGUCUCUCCAGAUCAGAACACCUCAAACACCAGCAGAGAGUUGCAGGAAGAAACCUCACCGCUGCUCUGACUGUGGAAAGAGUUUCACCUCUUCGGCAAAACUUAAAACACACCAGAGAAUUCAUACUGAAGAGAAACCUUAUAGCUCUUCAGACUGUAGGAUAAGUAUUUUGCAACUAGGAAACUUAACAAAACACCAGCUGACCCACACAGGAGAGAAACCUUUUAGCUGUGGUCAAUGUGGGAGGAGAUUCACGAAGUCAGGAGCCCUGACAGUUCACCAACGAAUACACACAGGAGAAAAACCGUUUCACUGCACAGACUGUGGGAAGAGUUUUGUUCAAUUAGGCAACCUGAAAAUUCAUCUGCGGACACACACACAAGAGAAGCCUUACCACUGCUUCGUCUGUGAGAAGAGCUUUUCAACAUCACAGGGUAAUAAAGUGCACCAGAGAACGCACACCGGAGAGAAGCCUUAUCACUGCUCUGACUGUGGGAAAAGUUUUGCUCAUUCAAGAAAUCUGAUAAAGCACCAGCGCAUACACACAGGAGAGAAACCUUACAGCUGUGAUCAAUGUGGGAAGAGAUUUACUAGCUCAAACGACCUGAUAAUACACCGUAGAACACACACUGGAGAGAAGCCUUACCACUGUUCAGACUGCGGGAAGAGUUUUACUCAGGCAAGCAACCUGAAAACACACCAGCGCAGACACCUGGGCCAGAAGCUUCACCACUGUUCAGAUUGUGGAAGUAACUUUUCAACAUCAAGGGGUUUAGAGCUGCACCAGCGAACACACACAGGUGUGAAACCUUACUACUGCUUCAGCUGUAGUAAAAGUUUUGCUAGAUUAGACGGACUGACAGUGCACCAGCGAACACACACAGGUGAGAAGCCUUUUAGCUGUGAUCAGUGUGGGAAGAGAUUUGCUCAGUCAGCACACUUGACUGUACACCAGAGAACACACACUGGAGAGAAACCAUACCACUGCUCAGACUGUGGAAUAAGCUUUAUUAAUUCAAAUCACCUUAAGGUACAUCAGAGAGUACACACAGGAGAGAGGCCUUAUAACUGUGAUGUAUGUGGCAAAAGUUUUGUUACAUCAGGAAGUCUGGCUUCACACCUUCGAACCCACACAGGAGAGAAGCGUUACCAUUGUACCGACUGUGGGACACGCUUUGGCAAGUCAGACCAUUUAAAAGUGCACCAGAGAACACACACAGGAGAGAAGCCUUACCAUUGUGCCGACUGUGGGAAAAGCUUUGCUGGGUCAGGCAGUUUAAAGUCACACCAGAGAACACACACCGGAGAGAAGCCUUACCACUGCUCUGACUGCGGAAUGGGCUUAACCACUUCAGGUGGACUUAAAAUACACCGGAGAACACACACAGGAGAAAAACCAUUCCACUGCUCUGACUGUGGGAAAAGAUUUAAUCAGGCUGGGCAGUUGGUUUUACACCAGCGAAUACACACUGGCGAAAAGCCUUACCACUGCUCAGACUGUGGGCUGAGUUGUACUUCUUUAGGGGAUUUAAAAGUGCACCUGCGAACACACACUGGAGAGAAGCCUUUUGGCUGUGAUCAGUGUGGGAAGAGGUUCGCUAAGUCAGGAACCCUGGCUGGACACAAGAGAACACACACUGGAGAGAAGCCUUUUGGCUGUGAUCAGUGUGGGAAGAGGUUCAGUCAGUCAGGAACCUUGGCUGGACACAAGAGGAAACACCAUACUGGUGGGUAACCUUUCCAUUUCUUUUAUUUUUUGAUAGCUGAAACCAGUUAAUGGUAGACUAAUCGGAGAGAAGCCGUGCAGGGUGAGCUUUCUUAAUGUGGCCAUGCUUGGUGUAAUAAGGGAACUUUAAAUAACUGUCCAUUUAAUUACAAUAUUUUUAAUUUAUUUAACUAGGCAAGUCAGUUAAGAACACAUUCUUAUUUUCAAUGACGGCCUAGAAACUGUGGGUUAACUGCCUGUUCAGGGGCAGCACGACAGAUUUGUACCUUGUCAGCUCGGGGGUUUGAACUUGCAACCUCCCGGCUACUAGUCCAACACUCCAACCACUAGGCUACCCUGCCAUCCCAAUAUGAGUGGCAAAGUCUGUGUUUGAAUGGUGUGGGCGUAUACCGGUCAUUAAAAUUAUUCAUGACAAGUUAACAGUGGAUUGGUCAGCUCAGAGAAAGCAGGGAGGUAGCUCCUCCCCCUAUCUCUGCUAGUUCCGGGCAAGUCUGUCCUUAGGGAUAAGGCAAGGGUCCGUUUGAAAAUGUUCAACCCUGUCCACCAUCCAACUCACCAUGGUCAAGCCUGGCUACCCUCCAACUCACC